CAGUCGCCGCGGUAAUACGUAGGGUGCAAGCGUUAAUCGGAAUUACUGGGCGUAAAGCGUGCGCAGGCGGUUAUAUAAGUCAGAUGUGAAAUCCCCGGGCUCAACCUGGGAACUGCAUUUGAGACUGUAUGGCUAGAGUGUGUCAGAGGGGGGUAGAAUUCCACGUGUAGCAGUGAAAUGCGUAGAUAUGUGGAGGAAUACCGAUGGCGAAGGCAGCCCCCUGGGAUAACACUGACGCUCAUGCACGAAAGCGUGGGGAGCAAACAGGAUUAGAUACCCGGGUAGUCCCUGUCUCUUAUAU
rnacentral:rRNA from 1 species